GUCUCAGUACUUGCUUUAACAAGGCGAAACCGCGAAUGGCUCAUUAAAUCAGUUAUGGUUCAUAGAUCGUACAGUUUACAUGGAUAACUGUGGUAAUUCUAGAGCUAAUACAUGAACCAGUUCCGUUCCCUCGUGGAGCGGACGCAGUUAUUUGCCCAAGACCAAUCCGGCCCUCGGGCGUUCAAUUGGUGACUCUGAAUAACCGAAGCGGAGCGCCAUGAUCUUCGUAUCGGCGCCCAGAUCUUUUCAAGUGUCUGACUUAUCACUUGUUGUUAGGUUAUGUUCCUAACAAGGCUUUCCUAACAGUGUCGCGUUGCAUGCGCAG
rnacentral:ncRNA from 1 species